GUGCCAGCAGCCGCGGUAAUACGAAGGGGGCUAGCGUUGCUCGGAAUCACUGGGCGUAAAGGGCGCGUAGGCGGCGUUUUAAGUCGGGGGUGAAAGCCUGUGGCUCAACCACAGAAUGGCCUUCGAUACUGGGACGCUUGAGUCUGGUAGAGGUUGGUGGAACUGCGAGUGUAGAGGUGAAAGUCGUAGAUAUGCGCAAGAACACCGGUGGAGAAAGCGGCCAACUGGACCAGUACUGCCGCUGAGGCGAGAAAGCGUGGGGAGAAAAAAGGAUUAGA
rnacentral:rRNA from 1 species